rnacentral:lncRNA from 1 species
AGAAGGACUGGUUUGCUGAUGCCAUUCACUGACGUCUCACUGUUGGUCAUUAAAGACCCAUCAGAAUUGAAUGAAUAUUGAGGAGCUCCUCCAUGCCUCCCUGGAACUGUAGAUAUUGGGCUUGUUAAACCAUGUUGGUCAGGUAAGCUUUCAGCCAAUGGUGGAGGGAUUGCACCUAGUGGAUACGCAAUAUCAACAUCAGAAAUGAGUCCAUGGCCAGUAAGCACAGUUAUAGCAAGCCCGAAAUGCAGUGCAAAUUGCACCACACAACUUAUGACAUCAAAUCCACUAGGGAUUUCAAGAAGGACUGGUUUGCUGAUGCCAUUCACUGACGUCUCACUGUUGGUCAUUAAAGACCCAUCAGAAUUGAAUGAAUAUUGAGGAGCUCCUCCAUGCCUCCCUGGAACUGUAGAUAUUGGGCUAGUUAAACCAUGUUGGUCAGGUAAGCUUUCAGCCUGCGACUUAGGUUCCUCAUGUUUUUCUUCCAAGAGAGGUGUUGUCGAUGAGGAUCCACCGGAUUUUUUUGAAUUACUCAUCACUGCGAAGAAAAUGUUAUUGCUGUGAACUAAACAAUGAAAGAGAUAAGUAUAUAUAGCCUCUCCGAUAGCAUAUAUGAGCUGUAAUUUGGGAUUUUUAUUGUUUAUAUGAGUUUAAAAUGAUAAUA